UUGUGAGGCUGAUGUGUAGGCAAAUCCGCACAUCGAUAAGGCUGGGCUGUGAUGGGGAGCGAAAAUUGCAGUAGCGAAGGUCAUGAGUUCAGGCUGCCAAGAAAAGCCUCUAGCCAGGUGAAGGUGCCCGUACCGCAAACCGACACAGGUAGGCGAGCAGAGUAUGCUAAGGCGCUCGGAAGAACUCUCGUUAAGGAACUCGGCAAAAUGACCCCGUAACUUCGGGAGAAGGGGUGCCUCGGUAGGGUGAAUAGCCCGAGGGGGCCGCAGUGAAAAGGCCCAAGCGACUGUUUAGCAAAAACACAGGUCUGUGCGAAGCCGUAAGGCGAAGUAUACGGGCUGACGCCUGCCCGGUGCUGGAAGGUUAAGGGGAGUGGUUAGCCGCAAGGCGAAGCUAUGAACCGAAGCCCCAGUAAACGGCGGCCGUAACAAUAACGGUCCUAAGGUAGCGAGAUUCCUUGUCAGGUAAAUUCUGACCCGCACGAAUGGCGUAACGACUUGGGCGCUGUCUCAACGAGAGAUCCGGUGAAAUUUUAAUACCUGUGAAGAUGCAGGUUACCCGCGACAAGACGGAAAGACCCCAUGGAGCUUUACUGCAGCUUGAUAUUGGACUUUGGUACGAUCUGUACAGGAUAGGUGGGAGCCUUGGAAGCCGGAGCGCCAGCUUCGGUGGAGGCAUCGUUGGGAUACCACCCUGAUCGUAUCGGAGUUCUAACCUGGUACCGUGAUCCGGUACAGGGACCGUGUCAGGUGGGCAGUUUGACUGGGGCGGUCGCCUCCUAAAAUGUAACGGAGGCGCCCAAAGGUUCCCUCAGAAUGGUUGGAAAUCAUUCGUAGCGUGCAAAGGCAUAAGGGAGCUUGACUGCGAGACCUACAAGUCGAGCAGGGACGAAAGUCGGGCUUAGUGAUCCGGUGGUACCGCAUGGAAGGGCCAUCGCUCAACGGAUAAAAGCUACCCUGGGGAUAACAGGCUUAUCUCCCCCAAGAGUCCACAUCGACGGGGAGGUUUGGCACCUCGAUGUCGGCUCAUCGCAUCCUGGGGCUGAAGUAGGUCCCAAGGGUUGGGCUGUUCGCCCAUUAAAGCGGUACGCGAGCUGGGUUCAGAACGUCGUGAGACAGUUCGGUCCCUAUCUGUCGUGGGCGUAGGAAAUUUGAGAGGAGCUGUCCUUAGUACGAGAGGACCGGGAUGGACGCACCGCUGGUGUACCAGUUGUUCCGCCAGGAGCAUAGCUGGGUAGCUACGUGCGGACGGGAUAAGCGCUGAAAGCAUCUAAGCGUGAAGCCCCCCUCAAGAUGAGAUUUCCCAGUAUGUAAGACCCCUGGAAGACGACCAGGUUGAUAGGUUCGAGGUGGAAGCGCAGCAAUGCGUGGAGCUGACGAAUACUAAUCGGUCGAGGGCUUAUCCAA
rnacentral:rRNA from 1 species